ACAGAUGAUACCUGUUAAAAAAGAAAAGGCAGAGAAUUAAGUUCAGACACAAAAUGCAAAUAACCAACGUUACCCAUUACCAAAAAAUUGAUAUACUUCUUCUUUCUUCUCCAACUAUGGCAAAUAUUCUCCAUAAGUAAUACUCAAAUUGCUUAGUCAAGCAACGCAGAUGAAUUCCAUUAUCAUUUCAAACUCCUUAGCCGACCAUUAGAAAAAUAACAAAGUCAAAAGGGGGGAAAAAAAUCCGAUCUCUUGCACCAAUACACGGGACAAAAACCAAA
rnacentral:misc_RNA from 1 species